AAAAGUUUCGGUUCUCUGUUUCUUUCCAAACUGACUGAGGAAACAUGGCGGAGGAGGAGAAACUUUCACUGCAGCUCGUUUAGAAGAUGAUCGAUGAAGAUCUUGUGUUAUACCGGCUCUGAUCCGUCUCCUUUAACUCAAAUGAUGCCGGACUGAAGCUAACUCCGCCGCGGCGAUUUAAUGCGACCCGACCCGGAUCCAGAUUUAUAAACGGGACCUGGAGCGUCGGCGUGGGAUGGGAGCAGCAUUGGAGUUUCCUCCAGCUAACAAGCAGGAUGGAUUUGUUCCUGGAUCCGGUCCUGACCUGCGAUCGGCCUCUUCGCUCCGUACAGAUCAGCUCUGAAGGUGGAAAGGAGGAGACGGAUGAGGCUUUAAAGUGACGGCGGAGGUCUAUGACUGCUAUUGAGCGGAGCGUCCUUAACAAAUGUCCCCAUCAGUCGCGGCGGCUGCAGUGAGGCUCGAUCAGCCGCCGCUGCCUCCUCUGCACAAGAUGGAUCUUUCAGCCUCCUGCCCUCCAUCACCUCGCCUCUCUCUCCGGUUCAUCCUCGUCCUCCUCUCCGUUCCCACACUCGGACAUCAGGCCAGUCUUUCUGCUUCCUGCUCACUUUUCCUUUCGACCAAAGUUAAAUCCACACUUUGCUUUUUCUGUGCACAAUAUUCUCACCUCUGUUUGUUUUUUUAUGAUCAAAACCUGCAGGAAAAGUCAAAUAUUGUCUGAUUGUAGGAAUUUUACAAAAAGAGAAUUUAAAUUCAUAAUUUUCAUUAAGAUAAAUUUUAAAAGGUUUUUAAAGGAAACAUUGGACAGUUUUAUAAUUAGGCUUUAAUUUAGUGUUUACAUGAUCUAUUUUGUAAUAUAUCAACUUCUACAGAUAAAACUAAGAAAGAUUUAUACUUUAUCAAUUAAUAUGGGGAAAAUGAAUCAAAUAUUUGCAAAUAUGUAAAGAGAACUUCGUGUUUGCAUC